rnacentral:rRNA from 1 species
UAAUUGUCAGCUAAGUGGCGCACGGGUGAGUAAUGUAUAGAUAACCUGCCCUUAAGAAAGGAAUAACAGUUGGAAACGACUGCUAAUGCCCUAUAUGCCUUUAAUACAUAAGUAUGCAAGGGAAACGCUUUAGUGCUUAAGGAUGGGUCUGUAUGGUAUCAGCUUGUUGGUGAGGUAAUGGCUCACCAAGGCUAUGACGCCUAACUGGUUUGAGAGGAUGAUCAGUCACACUGGAACUGAGACACGGUCCAGACUCCUACGGGAGGCAGCAGUGGGGAAUAUUGCACAAUGGACGAAAGUCUGAUGCAGCAACGCCGCGUGGAGGAUGACACAUUUCGGUGCGUAAACUCCUUUUAUAUAGGAAGAUAAUGACGGUACUAUAUGAAUAAGCGCCGGCUAACUCCGUGCCAGCAGCCGCGGUAAUACGGAGGGUGCAAGCGUUACUCGGAAUCACUGGGCGUAAAGAGCGUGUAGGCGGGUAUAUAAGUCAGAAGUGAAAUCCAAUAGCUCAACUAUUGAACUGCUUUUGAAACUGUAUACCUAGAAUGUGGGAGAGGUAGAUGGAAUUUCUGGUGUAGGGGUAAAAUCCGUAGAGAUCAGAAGGAAUACCGAUUGCGAAGGCGAUCUACUGGAACAUUAUUGACGCUGAGACGCGAAAGCGUGGGGAGCAAACAGGAUUAGAUACCCUGGUAGUCCACGCCCUAAACGAUGUACACUAGUUGUUGUGAGGCUCGACCUUGCAGUAAUGCAGUUAACACAUUAAGUGUACCGCCUGGGGAGUACGGUCGCAAGAUUAAAACU